GGAGGGAAGUCAAUGAAACCUCUACAGGCCAGAAUUCAUUUGUACAUCUGUAAAGAAGAAUUAUUUGCAUUGCUAUCAGUUGUCUACACUUUUCAGAGUUGUAAAAUAGUCCAAAGGCAGUGAAAGGGUCCCCUCGCAUCUUAGUGAGAUAACUUGGAAGAGUGUGUUCCAAAUGAUGCCUAGUUUCCCACUGAAGCACGCGUCUUUUCCCCAUACAACAUUUAUAAAGCGCUCAAGGUUUGCAGGAAGUGAUCCAAUAUGUUGGAACCGAGAGUCAGCUUGGGGGUUUAAGGCACAAAGUGCUGAGCUAUUUCCCUCCACCAGUCUGAUCUGUGGCAUGCUGAUGAGUCCUCCAAGUGACAUAGGAUAUUUACAGAGUUCCAUCCUAAAGUUUUCUUUUGGGGACAAAUGUUCCGUAGCUCUGAAAAAGUUUGAAAACCCCGAAACAUGCCCAGUUGCUGCAUGUUAUGGGAGAGAAAAUGAAGGUUCGGAGGGGGAAGUGACUUUCUCUAGGGCACACAGUGUGAUAAGGGAUCUCUGCUUGGAAGAUGGGUUUGAGGGCCAAGAAGGCCUUCCUUUUGGCAUUAUUCAGUGACACAAAGAGCUUUCCUGGAAGGAAGGGCUCAGGAGGCAGGCUGUGACAGAUGGUUUUCAUCUCCCUCUCCCAUGCUCUGGGAAAUCUGCUACUGUGCCUCUAAUCGGAUGUUGGGAGCUUCAAGCAAACUUGCAAUCUACAUUGUAUCAUUGUUCUGUAUCCCUAAUUAUACCUUGGACUUUGGCUUAAGUGCAGCUUAGGGGAUGUUCAUUAAUAGUGUGGACAGGGACACUCAGCAUUCAUAAAAUUCUUUACGGUAAUUUAAGUCCCAGCACCGUUCCGGUGCAUUAAGGAUGCAUGUUCGCUCCCAGCUGAAAGAUGACUUAAGUUCAGAGAAAAGAGACUGGCUGACAGAGAGUUGUUUUUCUAAACGUCUGUUUGAAUGCAAAGUUGUUUGAAUGCAAAGUCUCGUGUUCAUCAGUUCAAGGAAGCUCCUUGCUGAAUGACAUUCAGGGCUUAAUCCACCAAAGUUGGAGCGAUCUGCCCUUGGCAUUUCAUAACCACGCUCAGCUUUCUAUCUCUCGGCCAUUGUGUUGUCAAAAGCCUCAUAUUCUUGUUUGCACGACCAGUUUAAAGAGAAGCUUUGUCUCCACAGACAGACUGUGGCUCCAUCUGGCCCUGCCACCAAGAGCCGUGUGAUUCCAGAUGGAAAAAUCUCCAUCCCUCCCCCUAUUUCCAAAGCAGCUCCCACCCCCAUUGUUUUAUCUGCAGCCAAUAGCACAGACCCUGCACAAACUGUCUCAGCAGGGGCGGAAAGAUCCACUAAUGGGGGAACAACUCAUCUUUUCUUCCAUCCUUAAACCCUGUGCUGUGUGAAUGGAAAACAUGAACACAUCUGGCUGGACUCGUUGAAACGAGGGGUGUUGGGGCAGAGAAGCUGGGGAGGGCCUGCCUUUACCACAGAAGAUGUUAAGGAAAAGGCUUUUGUUGCUCUCAAGGAAAAUUAGAAUUUCAGAUGGUGACUGGAGUGAUUCAACCAUCUCAACUUUUUUUUUCUCUUCAAAAGACAUCGUUCGGGAACCCCAAAUAUUUGGCUGGAAUCUUCCGGCGAUGACCAGCUUUCUUCCAGGAGGCUACAAGAGAGGCCAGAUUUUUGGUAACCUGUUGACCAUGCUGAAGUUUAUGUGAGCCCUGGGCUCCCAGAGAGCUAUGAUGAGAAGCAAAUUGCAGAGGACCUUCCUGCCUUCAUAGAUUCAGCAUUCCCCACCCCCUCUUGCCCCCACCCCUAUAGGACUUGUCAUCUACUCUCCUCCCCACUCUCUUGCCUCUGUAAAGCCCCAGGCCCUCCUUCCUUUCCUCUGAGAUGUUCCUCUGUGUUCAUGAAUGUCCUCCCUAUUGCAACAGCCUGAAUAAAGUCAUCUCCUCCGGUG